rnacentral:rRNA from 1 species
GUCGAGGGGCAGCGGGGGAGUGGCAACACUUCCGCCGGCGACCGGCGCACGGGUGAGUAACACGUAUGAAACCUGCCCGCAGCAGGGGGAUAAGCGGAAGAAAUUCCGUCUAAUACCGCGUAACAACCGACGGGGGCAUCCCUGUUGGUUCAAAGGAGCGAUCCGGCUGCGGAUGGUCAUGCGGCGCAUUAGCUAGUUGGCGGGGCAACGGCCCACCAAGGCGACGAUGCGUAGGGGUUCUGAGAGGAAGGUCCCCCACACUGGUACUGAGACACGGACCAGACUCCUACGGGAGGCAGCAGUGAGGAAUAUUGGUCAAUGGCCGAGAGGCUGAACCAGCCAAGUCGCGUGAGGGAUGACGGCCCUACGGGUU